AAAAACUUUUUUUUUUUUUUUUUGGCCAAAGAAAUUCUUGGAAGGCGAUGGCCGGUGGAGUGGUGUAAUCCACGUGCUACUUGGGCUUGUGCUGAUGAUCCAAUCCGACCCAUGGUUGAUUCUGUCCUUCCAAAAUUCAAACAAGCGCAUUCCAACAGUUGUUUUCUUUCUCAAUUUUCUUAGAAUCAUGUUUUCAUAUUAUAAGAUUUUAAAUUCUUAAAAUGAUAUAGGUCUUCAUACUUAUGAAACUGAAAUCUUUUUUAUGUUUACGAUCUCUAGUGUCUAAGUGAAACAUGUACAGCCAGAACAAAUUGGGAUCAUCUACCUCAAUCCACACGUCGUUCAAACACAUUCAGUUGCUUCCCUGCUCACACACUAUACCAUUUCAAGCUUCAACAAUAGCUUCCGAAACAAUGUAGAUGCCAUGAUUCUUUGGUUAAACAUAUGGAAGAUUGAAAGAAGAAAAAACUACAUUUAAAACAAGGAUGAGGAAUAAGAACAUGAUAGAAACGGGAAGGAAA
rnacentral:misc_RNA from 1 species